ACCAUAAAUGAUCAUCAGUUGAGGAGUUGAAGCUUUUAAAUGGGGUGGCUUCAAUCUUUAUUCUCCCCCAUCAAGAACCUGUGGAAUCGAAUUCAAUGGACUCAUACGCGCCAUCGUAAACGUAAAGGUUUGUAUGUGUUGUAUGAAGACGUCAAGUGUUGCUCGUGCGAAGAUGUGCAGAUGUUGUGGUCGAUUUUGGUUGGACCAGAACCAAGAUUUUCGAUCUAAAACACGAAGGAAAUAGUAAUUACGCGGUUAUGAUUAAAAAAGUAUAGCCAACCAAUCAAGGUUAUGUAUAUAUUUUGUUUAAAAACCAGUGUAAAUGAUAUAUAAUUGUGAUGAUUGGUUUGUAAAUUGUAAUUUGUUACUUAAAAAUCAGUGUAAAAGAUAUAUAAUUGUGAUGAUUAAGAGUAAAUAGUUUGCAUAA